GACGAACGCUGGCGGCGUGCCUAAUACAUGCAAGUAGAACGCUGAAGGAGGAGCUUGCUUCUCUGGAUGAGUUGCGAACGGGUGAGUAACGCGUAGGUAACCUGCCUGGUAGCGGGGGAUAACUAUUGGAAACGAUAGCUAAUACCGCAUAAGAGUAGAUGUUGCAUGACAUUUGCUUAAAAGGUGCAAUUGCAUCACUACCAGAUGGACCUGCGUUGUAUUAGCUAGUUGGUGAGGUAACGGCUUACCAAGGCGACGAUACAUAGCCGACCUGAGAGGGGGAUCGGCCACACUGGGACUGAGACACGGCCCAGAAUCCUACGGGAGGCCGCAGUAAGGGAUCCUCGGCAAUGGACGGAAGUCUGACCGAGCCACGCCGCGUGAGUGAAGAAGGUUUUCGGGUCGUAAAGCUCUGUUGUAAGAGAAGAACGAGUGUGAGAGUGGAAAGUUCACACUGUGACGGUAUCUUACCAGAAAGGGACGGCUAACUACGUG
rnacentral:rRNA from 1 species